GACGGAGGGUGCAAGCGUUGUUCGGAUUGACUGGGCGUAAAGGGCGUGUAGGCGGUUGGUCAAGUCUGAUGUGAAAGCCCGGGGCUCAGCCCCGGAAGGGCAUCGGAAACUAGCCAGCUGGAGCGCGAUAGAGGAGAGUGGAAUUCCUGGUGUAGCGGUGAAAUGCGCAGAUAUCAGGAAGAACACCCGUGGCGAAGGCGGCUCUCUGGGACGGUACUGACGCUGAGACGCGAAAGCGUGGGGAGCGAACAGG
rnacentral:rRNA from 1 species